UACGAAGGAUGCAAGCGUUAUCCGGAUUCAUUGGGUUUAAAGGGAGCGUAGGUGGCCUUAUAAGUCAGUGGUGAAAUCUCUCAGCUUAACUGAGAAAUUGCCAUUGAUACUGUAGGGCUUGAGUAUAGUUGCCGUUGGCGGAAUAUGACAUGUAGUGGUGAAAUACAUAGAGAUGUCAUAGAACACCGAUUGCGAAGGCAGCUGACGAAACUAUAACUGACACUGAGGCUCGAAAGUGCGGGGGAUCAAACAGG
rnacentral:rRNA from 1 species